GUUAUUGUCACUUCCUACGCUGGCUCAGACCGUUCGAGUUUGGAUCUGAAAUAGCCUUUACCGUGAAACCGCAGUCGUAAUCUAUCGCAUGUAAUGUCUACAGCUUAGUUAAGCUCACGGAGUCGGCUGUAUCGCCAUGUUUGCGGAGUGGGCUUAUAAUAUCUCGACGGCCUGUGGUGUGGCGCGGAUUGUAUCUUGUUUGCGA